GCCCUGUGUUUCCUGGAAACUGCAGCGCAGUGCUUCAGCUGAUCUGAAAGGGCCGACAUCACCCCUGUGACAAUUGCAUGGGGCCUGUCAUGCUGCCAAUCAGCCCCCACAGCCUGGUUACAGGCACAUGC